AUUGAACGCUGGCGGCAGGCCUAACACAUGCAAGUCGAACGGUAACAGGAAGCAGCUUGCUGCUUUGCUGACGAGUGGCGGACGGGUGAGUAAUGUCUGGGAAACUGCCUGAUGGAGGGGGAUAACUACUGGAAACGGUAGCUAAUACCGCAUAACGUCGCAAGACCAAAGAGGGGGACCUUAGGGCCUCUUGCCAUCGGAUGUGCCCAGAUGGGAUUAGCUAGUAGGUGGGGUAACGGCUCACCUAGGCGACGAUCCCUAGCUGGUCUGAGAGGAUGACCAGCCACACUGGAACUGAGACACGGUCCAGACUCCUACGGGAGGCAGCAGUGGGGAAUAUUGCACAAAGGGCGCAAGCCUGAUGCAGCCAUGCCGCGUGUAUGAAGAAGGCCCUCGGGUUGUAAAGUACUUUCAGCGGGGAGGAAGGGAGUAAAGUUAAUACCUUUGCUCAUUGACGUUACCCGCAGAAGAAGCACCGGCUAACUCCGUG
rnacentral:rRNA from 1 species